rnacentral:lncRNA from 1 species
CUGGGCCAUAGGGGCAGUAGCUUAUCUAAGAGCUGUCACUGAAGAUGGCCGUUGUGAAGUUGGAUUUGUCCUGGGAAAGGCAAAACUAUCACCGCAGCCGGAGCCCACAAUCCCACGCCUUGAGCUUUGUGGGGCCGUCCUGGCGGUUGAGAUAGCGGAGCUGAUCUUAGACGAACUGGACCACAAGCCGGACGCUGUACAAUUCUACUGCGACAGCAGGGUGGUCCUCGGAUACAUCUGUAAUGACUCAAAGCGAUUCUUUGUCUACGUACACAAUCGCGUGAAUCGCAUAUGCCAGACAACGUCCCCUGAGCAGUGGCAUUACGUCCCUUCAGAAGAGAACCCAGCCGACUUAGCCACCAGAUCUGUGGCUGCAUCACAGCUCAUGAACACAAUGUGGUUCAAGGGACCUGACUUCCUCUAUAAGCCUCCAAAGCCAGAGAAGCACGAGCACUUUGAACUGAUAGACCCUGAAAUGGACGUGGACGUCAGACCGCAAGUAACGGCUCUCGCUACCCACAUUGAAGCUAAGCGACUUGGCUCUGAAAGAUUCCAGCAUUUUUCCACAUGGAACUCCUUGUUGAGAGCUGUUUCCCUCUUGAUACAUCUGGCACGUUCCCACAAGUCAGGCUCCACCGACACAUCGCAGCACAUGUGUAAAGGAUGGCAUCAAUGUAGCAGGCCUCGCACUCCUGGAGAACUCGAGGCAGCCAGGAGGCUCAUACUAGAGUCUGUUCAAAGAGACACAUAUCCGAACGAAUAUGCUGCUCUUCAAGCAAACACAGAAGUCCCUAAUUCAAGUCCAAUCCUGACCCUUGACCCCUACAUCAGUGAUGGCCUCCUGAGGGUCGGAGGGCGUCUCAGACAUGCUUCCCUUGAAUCAGAGGUAAAAAACCCAAUCAUCCUCUCAAAGAAUAGCCAUGUUACCAAGCUGCUUGUGAAACACCAUCACAUGGAAGUGAAACACCAGGGGCGUCAGUUCACAGAAGGGGCCAUCAGAGCGGCUGGACUGUGGAUUGUUGCUGGCAAGAGGCUGAUGAGUUCUAUCCUUCAUCGCUGUGUAAUAUGCCGAAAGCUCAGGGGGAAGGUAGAAGUGCAAAAGAUGGCUGACCUCCCUCCGGAGCGGCUCAACACAUCUCCACCCUUCACGUACGUGGGGCUGGACAUAUUUGGACCAUGGUCGGUGGUCACUCGACGCACUCGUGGAGGUGCAGCGCAAAGCAAAAGGUGGGCUAUUCUGUUCACAUGUAUGAGUACCAGGGGAGUACACAUCGAAGUUAUAGAGUCUAUGGAUGCCACCAGCUGUAUCAAUGCAUUGCGGAGAUUCUUUGCAGUUAGAGGCCCCGCAAAGCAGCUUAGGUCAGACAGGGGGACUAACUUCGUCGCUGCCAGCGCGGAACUGGGCAUGGGGUGUCUUGAUGAGAGGCAGACCAGCAUCCUGAAGUAUCUCCACAGCAACGGCU